UAACAAGGAUUCCCCUAGUAACUGCGAGUGAAGCGGGAUGAGCUCAAAUUUCAAAUCUGGCGGUCGUUGUGGCCGUCCGAGUUGUAGUCUGGAGAAGUGUUAUCCGCGUCGGACCGUGUACAAGUCUCCUGGAAUGGAGCGUCAUAGAGGGUGAGAAUCCCGUCCAUGACACGGACGCCCGAUGCUUUGUGAGGCACUCUCGAAGAGUCGAGUUGUUUGGGAAUGCAGCUCAAAAUGGGUGGUAAAUUCCAUCUAAAGCUAAAUAUUGGCGAGAGACCGAUAGCGAACAAGUACCGUGAGGGAAAGAUGAAAAGCACUUUGGAAAGAGAGUUAAAUAGUACGUGAAAUUGUUGAAAGGGAAACGCUUGAAGUCAGUCGCGUCCCGUGGAACUCAGCCUGGCUUCGGCCUGGUGUAUUUUCUAUGCGGACGGGUCAACAUCAGUUUCGGCCGGCGGAAAAAGGCAGAGGGAAUGUAGCGCCGCUUCGGUGGCGUGUUAUAGCCCUCUGUCAAAUACGCUGGCGGGGACUGAGGACCGCAGCACGCCCUUGUGGCCGGGGGUUCGCCCCACGUUCGUGCUUAGGAUGUUGGCAUAAUGGCUUUAAGCGACCCGUCUUGACCACCCGGAACCAAGGAAUCCAACAUGCUUGCGAGUGUUCGGGUGGUAAACCCUUGCGCGUAAUGAAAGUGAAAGUUGGGAGC
rnacentral:rRNA from 1 species